UUAGUUGUAAUUAUAAAAUUAGAAUUAGUAUUAGUUAUGUUCUUUAAAAUUAAAGAUUUUGGCGGUAUUUUAGUCUAUUCAGAGGAACCUGUUCUGUAAUUGAUAGUCCACGAUAAAUUUAACUUAUUUUAUUAGUUUGUAUAAUGUCGUAGAUGAAUAUUUUAAAAGAAUUUAAAUAUUCAAUAUUUAUAAUUUUAAUUAAAAUCAGAUCAUGUUGCAGCUUAUAAAUAAGAAGAAAUGGGUUACAAUAUAAUUAUAUAAAUGGAUAAAGAAUUGAAAAUUUUUUUGAAAGUGGAUUUGAAAGUAAUUAAUUAUAUUUAUUUUUAAUGAUUUGAGCUCUAAAAUAUGU
rnacentral:rRNA from 1 species